rnacentral:lncRNA from 1 species
GGGCUGCCGGCCUGAAUGGAUUCAGAGGAAGAGAUGGUGUACCUGGGUUACCAGGUUAGACCACUGUUGCUUUAAGAUGAAGAAGAUAAUGUGCCAUUGUGUGAUCAACUGUUAUGAACCUGUGUGUGUGUUCUCAAAGGCCUGAGAGGAGACAUGGGGCCAUCAGGAGCGUGUGGUACACCAGGACCAGACGGAGGCCCAGGACCAGGGGGACGACUUGGCCCUAAAGGUAGAACUGUCCAAUACUUUUAUGCACACACACACGCUAUGAUGAUGAUGAUGAUGUUGACGAUAAUGAUUGCUGUCUCCAGGUCUGAUGGGUGCUGAUGGGGUGAAGGGCCGUGUAGGAGCCAGGGGACCUGUGGGAGAUUCUGGGGCUCCUGGAGAUAUUGGAGUCACAACAUACAUCGAUGUCCCUGGGGACCCUGGGGACCCAGGACCUACAGGUCUAAGGGGCUUAACAGGUGCCAAAGGAGAUCUAGGUGUGAUAGGGCACAACGGAGCCAGUGGCAAGGAUGGGAUUCCCGGGAGCGCCGGGCCGCAAGGUACCAAGCACCGUGACACACUAUUGAAAAAAAAACUGUUUCAAUUGCCUACCCGCUACCCCUCUUCUUAAUAAAUCACUACCAUGCCUAGCUAUUCAAUUUGAUUGAGGACACUUUAUUAAUCCCCAAAGACAAUUGUUUAUUACUAAUAUUUUUACCUCACACUUUUCUUGUAGGUGCUGUUGGCGACCCAGGCAGAGAUGGCCAGAAAGGAAGUCCUGGUUUCAAUGGAAAUCCUGGAGUCGCAGGAGAUAUGGGUGUGCCAGGUAACAUACUCAAAAUUAUAGCGAAACAGGCUGUGUCCAGAAUCUGUCUUGCCGACUACUUACUAAAAUCUACAUACUGUGUACUAAUCGUACUACAUAUUAUUUAGAACUUAAUCGUUAGUAAAAAUGUCAUCUAAUGCGCAUUUGCGUUGUUUCCCGCCAUUCGUUCAUUUUGGUAUAGCGUUUCCCCUUGCUAAUUAUCAGCUGUUGUCAAACACACAUGGGUCUGAAAACAAGAUUCUCUUCCUCAGUAGCAUACAAC